rnacentral:rRNA from 1 species
AUUGAACGCUGGCGGCAGGCCUAACACAUGCAAGUCGAGCGGAUGAAGGGAGCUUGCUCCUGGAUUCAGCGGCGGACGGGUGAGUAAUGCCUAGGAAUCUGCCUGGUAGUGGGGGAUAACGUCCGGAAACGGGCGCUAAUACCGCAUACGUCCUGAGGGAGAAAGUGGGGGAUCUUCGGACCUCACGCUAUCAGAUGAGCCUAGGUCGGAUUAGCUAGUUGGUGGGGUAAAGGCCUACCAAGGCGACGAUCCGUAACUGGUCUGAGAGGAUGAUCAGUCACCCUGGAACUGAGACACGGUCCAGACUCCUACGGGAGGCAGCAGUGGGGAAUAUUGGACAUUGGGCGAAAGCCUGAUCCAGCCAUGCCGCGUGUGUGAAGAAGGUCUUCGGAUUGUAAAGCACUUUAAGUUGGGAGGAAGGGCAGUAAGUUAAUACCUUGCUGUUUUGACGUUACCAACAGAAUAAGCACCGGCUAACUUCGUG